UACGAAGGGGGCGAGCGUUGUUCGGAUUUACUGGGCGUAAAGAGCGCGCAGGCGGUCGUGUAAGUCGAGUGUGAAAGCCCCCGGCUCAACUGGGGAGGGUCAUUCGAUACUGAUCGACUCGAAGGCAGGAGAGGGUAGUGGAAUUCCCGGUGUAGUGGUGAAAUGCGUAGAUAUCGGGAGGAACACCAGUGGCGAAGGCGACUACCUGGCCUGUUCUUGACGCUGAGGCGCGAAAGCUAGGGGAGCAAACGGG
rnacentral:rRNA from 1 species